CUCGCGCACGACCACGACCUCAUGUACACCAUCGUGGAUCACUACCUCGAGGUAAAACUUUCUCCCGCCCACAUGCAGUAUUUUUGUUUGGAAUGCGGGAUUUCGAUAUGGACUGCACUAAUCCCUAGUGGAUUAGUGAGCCUAGCGGAGUAGUAGUAGUAAAUUCCUCCCCCUGGAGUAGGCAUUUCGCGUCCGAUUUUCCUCUAGCUUCGGCUCUAAGUUGAGUGUCCAUUGCUCAAGACAGGGCAUCUCCUAGUAGAAGUGAGAAAUUUGUCCAAGUUCAGUUAAACCUCGAAGGUUUCUGGCGGGUAAAAAUCUGAAUCCAACUUUUACUGUAUGACAAGUAUCUUGGAGAUCGUUAACUACUCAUUUUGCCCGCAAUGUUUCGUGGUGGA
rnacentral:lncRNA from 1 species